rnacentral:rRNA from 1 species
AACGAACGCUGGCGGCAUGCCUAACACAUGCAAGUCGAACGAGACCUUCGGGUCUAGGUGCGCACGGCGGCGUGCCACGGGGUAACCUGCCCUUAGGUUCGGAAUACCUCCCCGAAAGGGGAGCUAAUACCGGUUAAUGUCAUCGGAGCUAAGAUGUAUCGCCGUUGGAUGGGCCCGCGUUGGAUUAGCUAGUUGGUAGUGUAAAAGCCUACCAAGGCGACGAUGCAUGGCUGGUCUGUGAGGAUGAUCAUCCACGCUGGGACUGAGACACGGCCUAGACUGGUACGGGAGGGAGCAGUAGGGUAUAUUGGACGAUGGACGCAAGCCUGAUACAGCCGCGUGGGGUGAGAGAUGCAGGGCGUAGGGUUGCACAGCUGUUUUAGACGAGACGAGAAUGACGGUACCGGGUGAAUAAGCACCGGCUAACUCCGUG